AUCUGGGCGGCGAAAUUCAGAAUGGCUGGCGGGCUCCGCGCACGUCCGGCCGUUUGAUAUUUUCGUCGCCGUGUCAGACGUCGCGACCUGUUUGUCGUCGGUCCUGGUCAGCGACGAUUUCUUCGGGCCUCUUUCCGACCCGUCUUGAAACACGGACCAAGGAGUCUAACAUGCGCGCGAGUCGCGGGGUAUCGAGCGUACUACGGUGCGCUCGUCACAUUACGAAACCCGUACGUUAAAGGCGUAAUGAAAGUGAACAGGGAAGAUGGUGUUCCGAGUAUACGUACCGCGGUCAAGUAUCGUGGCCGGACGCCCGCAUUCCCGGGGCGUCUCAACGGCUCGUCGCGGAUGCGGACGGUCGUCUUUCGGGGCGAUCGUCGGUCUGCGACGGUCCGA
rnacentral:rRNA from 1 species